CCCUUAGAUGUUCUGGGCCGCACACGCGCUACACUGAAGGAGGCAGCGUGUACUCCUGGAUCGAAAGAUUUGGGUAACCCGCGAAUCUCCUUCGUGCUAGGGAUUGAGGUUUGCAAUUAUCCUUCAUGAACGAGGAAUUCCCAGUAAGUGCAAGUCAUAAGCUUGCGCUGACUACGUCCCUGCCCUUGGUACACACCGCCCGUCGCUACUACCGAUUGAAUGAUUUAGUGAGGACUUCGGACUGGGACCGAUGCGGCUUUCGGGCUGCGUCGGUAUUCUGGAAAGAUGUCCAAACUGUAUCAUUUAGAGGAAGUAAAAGUCGUAACA
rnacentral:rRNA from 1 species